rnacentral:rRNA from 1 species
AUUGAACGCUGGCGGCAGGCCUAACACAUGCAAGUCGAGCGGAUGAAGGGAGCUUGCUCCUGGAUUCAGCGGCGGACGGGUGAGUAAUGCCUAGGAAUCUGCCUGGUAGUGGGGGAUAACGUCCGGAAACGGGCGCUAAUACCGCAUACGUCCUGAGGGAGAAAGUGGGGGAUCUUCGGACCUCACGCUAUCAGAUGAGCCUAGGUCGGAUUAGCUAGUUGGUGGGGUAAAGGCCUACCAAGGCGACGAUCCGUAACUGGUCUGAGAGGAUGAUCAGUCACACCGGAACUGAAACACGGUCCAGACUACUACGGGAGGCAGCAGUGGGGAAUAUUGGACAAUGGGCGAAAGCCUGAUCCAGCCAUGCCGCGUGUGGUAAGAAGGUCUUCGGAUUGUAAAGCACUUUAAGUUGGGAGGAAGGGCAGUAAGUUAAUACCUUGCUGUUUUGACGUUACCAACAGAAUAAGCACCGGCUAACUUCGUG